rnacentral:rRNA from 1 species
AAUGAACGCUGGCGGCAUGCCUAACACAUGCAAGUCGAACGAGACCUUCGGGUCUAGUGGCGCACGGGUGCGUAACGCGUGGGAAUCUGCCCUUGGGUUCGGAAUAACAGUUAGAAAUGACUGCUAAUACCGGAUGAUGACGAAAGUCCAAAGAUUUAUCGCCCGAGGAUGAGCCCGCGUAGGAUUAGCUAGUUGGUGAGGUAAAGGCUCACCAAGGCGACGAUCCUUAGCUGGUCUGAGAGGAUGAUCAGCCACACUGGGACUGAGACACGGCCCAGACUCCUACGGGAGGCAGCAGUGGGGAAUAUUGGACAAUGGGCGAAAGCCUGAUCCAGCAAUGCCGCGUGAGUGAUGAGGGUCUUCGGGUUGUAAAGCUCUGUCUUCAGGGACGAUAAUGACGGUACCUGAGGAGGAAGCCACGGCUAACUACGUGCCAGCCGCCGCCGUAACAC